CCCUCCCUCUUUCUUCAUGCCUAACACAUGCAAGUCGAACGAGACCUUCGGGUCUAGUGGCGCACGGGUGCGUAACGCGUGGGAACCUGCCCUUAGGUUCGGAAUAACUCCCCGACAGGGGUGCUAAUACCGGAUAAUGUCUUCGGACCAAAGAUUUAUCGCCUUUGGAUGGGCCCGCGUUGGAUUAGCUAGUUGGUAGGGUAAAAGCCUACCAAGGCGACGAUCCAUAGCUGGUCUGAGAGGAUGAUCAGCCACACUGGGACUGAGACACGGCCCAGACUCCUACGGGAGGCAGCAGUGGGGAAUAUUGGACCAUGGGCGAAAGACUGAUCCAGCAAUGCCGCGUGAGUGAUGAAGGCCUUAGGGUUGUAAAGCUCUUUUACCCGGGAUGAUAAUGACAGUACCGGGAGAAUAAGCGCCGGCUAACUCCGUG
rnacentral:rRNA from 1 species